rnacentral:rRNA from 1 species
UACGAAGGGGGCUAGCGUUGCUCGGAAUCACUGGGCGUAAAGGGUGCGUAGGCGGGUCUUUAAGUCAGGGGUGAAAUCCUGGAGCUCAACUCCAGAACUGCCUUUGAUACUGAGGAUCUUGAGUUCGGGAGAGGUGAGUGGAACUGCGAGUGUAGAGGUGAAAUUCGUAGAUAUUCGCAAGAACACCAGUGGCGAAGGCGGCUCACUGGCCCGAUACUGACGCUGAGGAGCGAAAGCUAGGGGAGCAAACGGG